rnacentral:rRNA from 1 species
AUGGCUCAGGAUGAACGCUGGCGGCGUGCCUAAUACAUGCAAGUCGAGCGAACAGAUAAGGAGCUUGCUCCUUUGACGUUAGCGGCGGACGGGUGAGUAACACGUGGAUAACCUACCUAUAAGACUGGGAUAACUUCGGGAAACCGGAGCUAAUACCGGAUAACAUAUUGAACCGCAUGGUUCAAUAGUGAAAGGCGGCUUUGCUGUCACUUAUAGAUGGAUCCGCGCCGUAUUAGCUAGUUGGUAAGGUAACGGCUUACCAAGGCAACGAUACGUAGCCGACCUGAGAGGGUGAUCGGCCACACUGGAACUGAGACACGGUCCAGACUCCUACGGGAGGCAGCAGUAGGGAAUCUUCCGCAAUGGGCGAAAGCCUGACGGAGCAACGCCGCGUGAGUGAUGAAGGUCUUCGGAUCGUAAAACUCUGUUAUCAGGGAAGAACAAAUGUGUAAGUAACUGUGCACAUCUUGACGGUACCUGAUCAGAAAGCCACGGCUAACUACGUGCCAGCAG